AUCCGAACAAUAUACAAUUUUAUAUGUAUGUACAUAAGUGGAUUCGGGACACAGGAGCUUCUCUCAACUGGUAAAUGCUCUCGUUGGACAGGACUUGCCAUAAGAUAUUUAUGGGAAAAGCUUGGUGAGAAAGAGAGGAGAUACGCCGGGUACAUAAUGUUUUUUGUUUAUUCCCCCACAUCUGUCUCUCAUUAGCUACCCUUACACCAACACCAGCAAUGGGGUAUUGUCCAUAAUGCUACGCGGCAGCAGAUACUCGGCCUGAGCUUGGUG
rnacentral:lncRNA from 1 species